AGUGAACGCUGGCGGCGUGCUUAACACAUGCAAGUCGAACGAGAACGGGUUAUAGCUUGCUAUAAUUGUCAGCUAAGUGGCGCACGGGUGAGUAAUGUAUAGGUAAUAUGCCUCUUACUAAGGGAUAACAAAUGGAAACGUUUGCUAAUACCUUAUACUCCUUAUUAACAGAAGUUAAUAAGGGAAAGAUUUAUUGGUAAGAGAUUAGCCUGUAUUGUAUCAGUUAGUUGGUGGGGUAAUGGCCUACCAAGACUAUGACACAUAACUGGUUUGAGAGGAUGAGCAGUCACACUGGAACUGAGACACGGUCCAGACUCCUACGGGAGGCAGCAGUGGGGAAUAUUGCACAAUGGACGAAAGUCUGAUGCAGCAACGCCGCGUGGAGGAUGACACAUUUCGGUGCGUAAACUCCUUUUAUAUGAGAAGAUAAUGACGGUAUUAUAUGAAUAAGCACCGGCUAACUCCGUGCCAGCAGCCGCGGUAAUAC
rnacentral:rRNA from 1 species